GGGUGUUUAGUCCAAAAAAGACCACUAAUUUCGACUUAGUAAAUUAUGGUGAAAGCCCAUAAACACCCU
rnacentral:tRNA from 1 species